AUGAAUACAAGGCUUCAGAAAUAACACUUAACAUUGUGUCUUUGCGUCUGAUGACUCUAUCAGUAACUAAAAGAAAAACACUGAGGGUUAAAUGUUACUAAAAACAGCGUCAAUAGACACAGAGCUGUGCGUCACUAUAAGUUUCCAGUGUGAGCACAUAGUUUUCAAUUGUGUAUCUUCGUCGCUUAGUGGUGUAAAAGGUUAUUUACACAUGCUGAUAAACCUGUAGACCUGGUUCUGUUUGCAGGCACCUGACCGUACAACUGCAUUUUAUAAAUCACAACACUCAAGAAACAAACACAGCAGGAAAAACACACCACGAUGUUGUACUUAAUGGGGAUUGUUUUGGGCCUCAUUGGCAUUAUAAUGUGCAUGUCAAAUGGUCUAAAUCAGAAAACCACCAAAGGUGUUCCAGAAAAAAACCUGUUCUACAUAAAUAAGUGGAGGAUGAAUGAACAGGAGCUUCUCCUCGUGACCAGACUUCUUUCUGUUGGGCUGGUGGAUGCUGAUCCAAACACUCUUCAUCAUAUCAAAGAAUACAGAGAUCUGAGAGGAAGUUCAACUUGAGAAGGCACGUGUCUUUCAGAAAACACCUAACCCGCAUGUAGCCUACAUGUGAUAGGAAACAAUGAGAACAAUUUCUCUUCUUUACUGGUUAUUGGCACUCAAGGAAACUUGUGCUGAAAAUCCAAACCUGUAAAACGUGAUGAAUUGCUCAGAACUUUUUCCUUAUCUACAAGGAUGAUCCAACAUCUGGAUGAUCUGUCCUGGAAGACUCCAGUGGAAUGAUGAACCAAGCGGAUUUACUUACUUAGGUCUCCUGUUUGAUUUUAUUUUUCCGGUCACAGCAAUCUCACAUAUAAGAGAAGCUGAAGAGAUCUCAGCAAUGUCUCAAAUUGUUUUCAUGUUGCCAAAAUAUAUAAAAUGUCCUCUGAAGCUGGAUAGAUGUUGAAGCUGUCGAUCAUAAGCAAAAAUCAUCCAAAAAUAGUACAACUACAAACUUAACAAAAAUAGGGGAAAACAGUUAAUUAAUAGGGAUUCUGUCCUAAAAAUAAUAAUCUGACUUGAAGAGGGGUCGUUUAAAAAAGCUUUACCAAUGAACACCGAAAGAGGGCAGCAUGCACACCACAUUUUGGCAAACACAUAAACGUGGAAAUAAUCGAACCAACGUGUUUUUUUAUUUCCUCAGGUUGCAAUUCUAAUGAAACUGUAUUUAAUCUUUUUUAAUAUUGUCCAUUUACUAAGAUGUUUUGGCAAGAUGUUUUGGAAUUUAUUAGGAAUUAAAUUUUAUGUUAUAAUGAAUGUGAGUUGUUUUGGAAGAAUGUGGUAGGCUUAGGUUUAGUAGAUUAUGAUAAAUCUGAAAAAGAUUUUUUUUUAUUAUUAAUCUGAUAUUGCUACUUGCUAAGUUCCACAUUCAUAAAUCUAAGUGUUUGAAAACACUUUAUUAUCAAAAUGUCUGAGAACAAAAUGUUUGGUUUAUAUUUAAUAUUUAAGUACAUUACACAUCUAAUAUUUUUUUACUUAAGUAAAAAGUACUUUCAUACCUUUACUCAAGAAAAGUAAAGUACACAAUUUUUAUGUAAUUAGGUAUUAAAUCAAUAUUAAUAUUCAAUAUAAAAGGAAUACACAGUAUGAUUAUAUGCUUUAGAAUGUAGUGAACAUUUUUUUAGUAAAGUAAUUUUUUUCCCCAAGACAAACACUCUGAUAAAGCACAGAUGCUUGGAAAAUUUACUUAAAAUACUUAAGUAGUGUCCGCCUCGGUGAUUAACACAUUUAAUUAAUAUAUUUCUCCUCUGGUUGUUCUGUUUUCUUUCUUUUUUGUUGUUUUUCUUGUUGUUGUUAUCAUUUGUCAUUAUUUGUUGCCUGUACAUUUUGAGCAUCAAAGAAUAAAAAGAAAUCAAAGUCUUUUUAAGAGUAAUAUUAUCUCUGAUAGAACUUAUUGAUACAUUUUAGAUAACUUAUAAUGAAAAUAAUUGCUUAACAUGCUUUAAGUGAUUAAUCUAUUAUAUUUUUAUAUUUUUCUUUCUACCAUGUGUCUAAACAAAAAAAAAUCUUUUUACAGACUGUGAUAUACAUCAAGUAUAAGAUGUUCAUUCAUUUUGGUUUUCUGUUCUUAAGAAGGUGCAAGUUAAAAAAAUGGCCUCAAACCUACUGUUAGAGACCAUACUUUCUCUUUCACUUUCCACUGGAAACAACUGACAAACCUUUCAGAGGUAAUUUUUUUUAAAAUCUCAAACAAGGGUGUAAAGACAAAAUCUGCAAAAACAUUUUAUAGGAGGUUGUUAUCUGAAGGAGUUUGGGAUAAUCACGCAGUACGUCAAGAAUAUUAACAAUUAUAAAGUUAACUCUUAUUCUUAGUAUUAUCCAUAAAUUGUUGUAAUAUGCUCAUGACUUGCAAAUGUAAUGUUCAGUUACCUGAAGUAAUAUGACUCAUGGGUUUUGUUUUGUUUUCUCAUUUCUCACAAAUAAAUUUCUUAUAUAUGGUCAUGUGGUCAUACAUCAUGUAAUUAAAUAGUCCUGGCUUAAACUAAUCCCUGUUUGGGAAACCACCCCUAUAAGUAUAAUCUUGAGUAACUGAAGAUUUUUUCAUUUAAAAAACUGCAUCAAAUGUGCCAGGUUAAGACACAGACUUGUGAAUUAUUGUACGUUUUUAAGUAUCAGUAUGAAGAAAGCUCAUGACUGUUGUUUCUUGUUUAGCUUUAUCAUUUGCUGAUAUCUAAACCUGUAGCCCCGGAUUGCAUGACUCUAAACAAAAAAUUUAAAAAACAAUCAUGUCCGAUGAUCUGAAGGUUAUUUUGUUGUUUUUAUUCGUCGUAAUUGUCAUUGCUAUACUGUCAGGUACAUGCUUGAAAUGUAAGGCACAAGGUAUAGAGCUUGAGGUGGAACCUCCUUCAAGAAGGUCCAGGUCCAGCAUCAAAGCAGAGUAACAUCACUAAUGAGUUCAGAUACAGAACAAGUACAUCAUGAUGAGGAUGCUCAGAUCUUUCUUGAAACAUG